rnacentral:lncRNA from 1 species
AAAAUUCUGGCACCUAUCCACAGCCUGAACCUUGGAGAGCACCUCCCUUGCAUAUGACUUCUGCAAAGGGCAUGUUUCAGCUCACAGGGACAAAGAGCCACUGCACCAGAGAACCAGAAAGAGUUACAGACAUGGCUCACAGGCUUAAGUGUCUUGCUGUAGGUCAUACGGCAGGUUAAUAACAACAUUGGGGCAAGAACACAGCUUACCCUAGUCCUGGGAAAGGCUCCCACACCAAGCUACACACUUUUGCAGUGCUGUUCCACAUGUGAAAAUCCGCUAAGACAAAUAGGUCACAAAAACACCAUGGGAGACGAUGAUGUCUUUUCCUUUUUGUUAUUUUGAUAAAGCUUCAUACAUGAAUGGUAAAAUGGAAAUUUCAGUUGGGGAACUAACAAAUCAACAGAUGUCUUACUCCACAAUGAGGUGCAAGAUCUUGAGGCUGGAUUUAGAAAGAGGAAGAGAAGACCAAUCGCACGGCUCAUCACCCUCACCCAUCUGAUGAUAUGAAAGGUUUGAAGGAAGCCAGAGCUGGAGCCAGAUUUUCCUCGGAUGAGUUUUGAUGAACUAUAAAAAAUGAAGAUGCUCUCCCUUGUCAUCCCCAGUCAAAGAAAAGGCACUUUAAAGAAAUCACUCUUGAGCCAGAUAUUGUGGUUGGAUUUUGGUGGACGCAGUGAAGUCACGUCUGGCUCCCUCCUCAAAUACUGGGAGGAUGAGAAGUGGGAGGCAGCCGUGGGGCCGCUGAGUGGAGAAGGCUGACCUUUGAGCAAACACGUGGGAUUCUUCCCCGCGGAACAGACGUGAGCCAUGAACACGGGAACAAAAGUGUGCUAGAGUAACUCCCGUCCAAGAGAGACCCUUACUAGGGCAAGAAGACCUUGAUCAAAGCGUACCCAGAUGCCGAGGUUCUGAGGAAGGAAAUAUAAGUGACCACCAAGCAUGGUGCUCUGAUUAUUAAGCUAGUUUCUCAGCUCCAAACUCAGCCUUCACUGCUUAGCUUUGUGACAGUGGGAAGGCUGGGGGAGGCCAAACCACCUUUCCCCUUUGCCAGGGCUCCCUGAUCAGUUCUGCCCAUGUGCUACUAAGGGAAACGGCAAGGCUGGAGGAGGGAAAGGGGACACCACCCUUCUCUUUGCGCACUGCUUAUGCCAGCAGCAUCCGAGCAAUACUGCUUGCCCUGUAGUGCUUCUAGAGUCAGAUUUCAGUUCAGUGUCUGGGUUUUUGAACAUUUCUAUAACCAUUCUCCUUCCCCAAUAGCACUCCCACAUCAGAAGCUGAGUCCCAGCUCCCUGACUUCUCCAGAUCCUAGAACCAUCAGCACAAGCAGCAGCACAUAUUCCAUUCCUGUGGGGCUUGGCUCUGUGAGGCUCCUCUCAGCUCCCAGAUUCUCCCAACAUCACUUCUUUCCUUUGUUCCCCUAGACUUCGAGCAGGUCAUUUCUUGCUAUGCCUAUCUAACCCCUUCCCUAAAUUCAAUUCUCUCUGUUAAGAUAACCAGUAUGUUUCUGCUUUCCAGUCUGGAUUCUGAUUGAUACACAUAAGCUGCAUUCCCACAUCAAGGGAACCGUGAGUGUUUAUCCUCCAUGGUAAGGGGAGACUGUGAGUCCCCACGAAAGCAUCCCAAGAGAGGAAGAGUCCCUUUACACACCUGCUGCCCCAUGUGCGGAUGCCCACUGAGCACCAAAGUUGUCAAGGACAAAAGGAAGAACUAGCCCACCAAGUAGGUUUAAAGGGAGCGUCAGACACAAAAAUGACAUGCUCCAUAUUGCAGUCUAGAAGGAACAACAUGGUGAAUUGUCCACUGCAGAACACUUCACUCUGUCUCGAUUACUACAUGGUGAAUUGAAGUUCCAGUAGAGAGGGAAUCGAGCCGAUACUGAGGAGAUCAAUACCCAUCACCGUAUGGAUCUACUUCUUGGAAUUUGCAAGGAAACCAGUCAACAGAUUUUUCAAGCUUUAUAAGUUUAUCUGCCUGAGAAGUUCACCGGCUACAUAACAUCCUGGACUCUGGAGCCCAAGAGAUGUGUAGUUUCCAUUUUGGAGCCAUUUUCUUUAAUAAAUAAGUAGUGAGGCUGCCAUUCUUGUCAAAAUUGAGGACCACAACCUUACUCAUGAAACUGAAAGAUUGCUUGUUACGAGGAGUUCUGUUUAAGCCAUAAAUGCAAUGUAUCCUUUUUAAAUAAAUGUAUCCAGAAUCUUAGGUGUUCAUUGCUCCAAGCUAUGUGCAGAAUAAAAAGAAAAAAAAAAACAG